CGGUUGGGGCCGCUGCUUCCGGGCACCGCGCGCCCUCUCACGGAGCCCCGCCGCAGCUCCGUGCUCCGCUCCGCUCGGCUGGAGAACUCCGCCCCGCCGUGGCCGUCUGCUCCGCCCCGAGGCGGUGUCCGCGCUGGGGCGCCGACCUGCGCCCCGGGGAGCCCGCGGCGCUGUGCUGUGAGGUGAGGCCGUGGGUAGCGGCGCUCCCUCGGGGACCCGGGGGGAUACCGGAGCCGAGGCCGUAGCGUUAAAAGGUUGAGGCGUCUGAGUAUGGCCAAACGUCACCACAGCUGUGAGGGAAACGGCGCUUUGCUCGGAGAAGGUGACGGGAUCGCGGCCCCUGCGUGGAAAAGCAGCUCAAACAACGAGGUGUUGCUUCCGUUAGCUCGGGGCGGCGCCGUCCGGGCCGCGCUGCUCCUCGGCGCUGUGCCCGUGGUUGGCAGCCCCGGUUCUGUUCUGCGCUUUUUAGUGCGGAGCUGUAAGGGCUGAGCUGCCACGUGUGGAGCAGCCCGAGCCAGCACAAACCAAGGAUUCAGCUGAACCUGGAUACAUCUGUCUUUUGCACUGAGUUUCUAAGGACAAAUCAAGGAGGCUUCACUGUUGGAGACGGCGGGAGAAAAGCAAACGACCAUAUCUGUCAUUGACAUAUGAUCAGCUAAUCUCCUUUAUUGCUUUGGCUACGUGUACAUUUAUAAUGCAGAUAAUUAGCUCAUACAUAGUGCAAAAGCAGAGCUCAUCAUUGGUUCCCAAUUACAUACCACCCCAAGUAUCUUUGUAACUUGCAGUUAUUGUCUGUUAUUGUUUUUGUAUAUUCAUUCUGCCUCUUCACCUUUUUGUUUUACAUUUAAGUUAGCCAAAUAAUUAAUAGCAUUGCAAAAUCAGGGGAAAAAAUGAUUAUCUGUGAUUUCAGGUGGCAGCAGCAUUUAUCCAUAUUUCUGUCUUGUGUAUCAAACUAGAAAAUAUGUAACUAGUUCAGAAAUGCUUUACCUCAUUACAGAUAAUACACAUAAUAUAAAGAAGAAUGUACUUGUGCAAGAGGUGCAAAAUCUUUCCACUGUCGCGUGCAGCUUAGAUUGUUCUAUUUAUUUCAACUUGUGCAAGCAUUAAAGCAUCAGUAUGGUGUAGAUGUGGUUUAUACUAUGCAGUUACUGAGUUUUACACAGUAAGCUAUACUGUGUAGUGCUGGAAACCUAAAGAAAGGAAGUGUCAGAAAAAAGAUGUACUAAAAGAUUCCAUUGAAUGCAAUUGAUGCUCAUCUCUUGAAGAUGUUUGGACAGCAGCCAAUGCAUGGAAAGGAAGAUGCAUUUAAAGAAUCAAAUAAUCUCUUGAAAAUGGCAUCUCCCAUGUAAUCUCAGUGGAAAUUGUCCAGCUCGUCACAAUAGCUCUUGACUUGGAGCACCACCUUUCCUGUUUCGGGCACAAACAUUUGUGAGACUUCCUUCUUGCUGCAGGGAAGUUCAGUCACAGAACUUGGCAUUUUCCUCCAAGAAUAACAGUGAACUCUGUGUUCCCCUAUUUGCAACAGAAAUAAGUGCAACAAACAGAGGUGGAGUAGUCUUAACUAGUAUAGUUGUUGUCUGAAAGGAGAGACCUCACUUUCAUUCUAUUGCAGCGUGUUUCAUUGCUAUAAACUACUAGUUAAGAAAAACAGGAAAAUAAAAGAAUAUCAGUUCUUUAAAAACCAAAUUAUUGCAGAAAUGUAAAUAUUUGUUGUGAUGUAUGAGAUGUACUUAUUUCGUCAUAAAGUUGAAAGCUGUGUUUUAGGGAAGGGCAGUGUUUAAAGAAACAAUGCAAAUCAGGAA